GGAUGUAGCGCAGUUGGUAGCGCGCUUGGUUUGGGACCAAGAUGUCGCAGGUUCGAACCCUGUCAUU
rnacentral:tRNA from 1 species